rnacentral:tRNA from 1 species
GGCCCGUUCGUCUAUCGGCUAGGACUCAGGAUUUUCAUUCCUGCAAGAGGGGUUCGAUUCCCCUACGGGCUA